AUUGAACGCUGGCGGCGUGCUUAACACAUGCAAGUCGUGCGGUAACAGGCGUAGCAAUACGUGCUGACGAGCGGCGAACGGGUGCGUAAUACAUGGGAAUCUGCCCUUUAGUGGGGAAUAACCCGGCGAAAGCCGGGCUAAUGCCGCAUAAGAUCUUCGGAUGAAAGCGGGGGAUCGUAAGACCUCGCGCUGAUGGAUGAGCCCAUGUCGGAUUAGCAGUUGGUGAGGUAACGGCUCACCAAGGCGACGAUCCGUAGCUGGUCUGAGAGGACGGCCAGCCACACUGGGACUGAGACACGGCCCAGACUCCUACGGGAGGCAGCAGUGGGAAUAUUGGACAAUGGGCGAAAGCCUGAUCCAGCGACGCCGCGUGUGUGAAGAAGGCCUGCGGGUU
rnacentral:rRNA from 1 species